rnacentral:rRNA from 1 species
AUUGAACGCUGGCGGCAUGCCUUACACAUGCAAGUCGAACGGCAGCACGGGUGCUUGCACCUGGUGGCGAGUGGCGAACGGGUGAGUAAUACAUCGGAACAUGUCCUGUAGUGGGGGAUAGCCCGGCGAAAGCCGGAUUAAUACCGCAUACGAUCUACGGAUGAAAGCGGGGGACCUUCGGGCCUCGCGCUAUAGGGUUGGCCGAUGGCUGAUUAGCUAGUUGGUGGGGUAAAGGCCUACCAAGGCGACGAUCAGUAGCUGGUCUGAGAGGACGACCAGCCACACUGGGACUGAGACACGGUCCAGACUCCUACGGGAGGCAGCAGUAGGGAAUUUUGGACAAUGGGCGAAAGCCUGAUCCAGCAAUGCCGCGUGUGUGAAGAAGGCCUUCGGGUUGUAAAGCACUUUUGUCCGGAAAGAAAUCCUUGGCCCUAAUACGGUCGGGGGAUGACGGUACCGGAAGAAUAAGCACCGGCUAACUACGUG